CAGAGGCGCAUGGGCUGUCGCUGACCUUUAAAGGUCGUGCACGCCCAAGCGCUCUCGCACAUCCAUCUCACACACCCCCCUUUUGUGCACCACCGCGUGGGUCCCCUCCUUUUCGGGGGAGGGCUUGCGUUUUCACAUUAAACUUGACACGGUGUAGAAUGUAUUUCUUUUUUCAUUUGCGGUCACACGCAAUCAAUACAACUUUCAACAACGGAUCUCUUGGCUCUCGCAUCGAUGAAGAACGCAGCGAAAUGCGAUACGUAAUGUGAAUUGCAGAAUUCAGUGAAUCAUCGAAUCUUUGAACGCACCUUGCGCCCCUUGGCAUUCCGAGGGGCACACCCGUUUGAGUGUCGUGAAAUUCUCAAAACCUUUUUCCUUCUUUGAUCCAUUUUGGUCAGGGAGAGAGGAUUUUGGACUUGGAGGGUUUCUGCUCGUUUUUGCUUUGAAAGUGAGCUCCUCUCAAAUGAAUCAGUAGGGUCUGCUUUGCUGAUCCUUGACGUGAUAAGAUGUUUCUACGUUUU
rnacentral:rRNA from 1 species